GAUGAACGCUGGCGGCGUGCUUAACACAUGCAAGUCGAACGGAAAGGCCCUGCUCUUGUUGGGUGCUCGAGUGGCGAACGGGUGAGUAACACGCGUGUAACCUGCCCUUGACUUUGGGAUAACUUCAGGAAACUGGGGCUAAUAUCGGAUAGGAGCUCCUGCUGCACGGUGGGGGUUGGAAAGUUUCGGCGGUUGUGGAUGGACUCGCGGCUUAUCCGCUAGUUUGUGAGGUAGUGGCUUACCAAGGCUUUGACGGAUAGCCGGCCUGAGAGGGUGACCGGCGACAUUGGGACUGAGAUACGGCGCAGACUCCUACGGGAGGCAGCAGUGGGGAAUAUUGCACAAUGGGCGGAAGCGUGAUGCAGCAGCGCCGCGUGCGUGAUGACGGCCUUCGGGUUGUAAACCGCUUUCGCCUGUGACGAAGCGGGAGUGACGGUAAUGGGUAAAGAAGCACCGGCUAACUACGUG
rnacentral:rRNA from 1 species